GGGCUGCGGGUGCUAAUACAUGCAAGUCGAGCGAGCUGAACCAACAGAUUCACUUCGGUGAUGACGUUGGGAACGCGAGCGGCGGAUGGGUGAGUAACACGUGGGGAACCUGCCCCAUAGUCUGGGAUACCACUUGGAAACAGGUGCUAAUACCGGAUAAGAAAGCAGAUCGCAUGAUCAGCUUAUAAAAGGCGGCGUAAGCUGUCGCUAUGGGAUGGCCCCGCGGUGCAUUAGCUAGUUGGUAGGGUAACGGCCUACCAAGGCAAUGAUGCAUAGCCGAGUUGAGAGACUGAUCGGCCACAUUGGGACUGAGACACGGCCCAAACUCCUACGGGAGGCAGCAGUAGGGAAUCUUCCACAAUGGACGAAAGUCUGAUGGAGCAACGCCGCGUGAGUGAAGAAGGUUUUCGGAUCGUAAAGCUCUGUUGUUGGUGAAGAAGGAUAGAGGUAGUAACUGGCCUUUAUUUGACGGUAAUCAACCAGAAAGUCACGGCUAACUACGUGCCAGCAGCCGCGGUAAUACGUAGGUGGCAAGCGUUGUCCGGAUUUAUUGGGCGUAAAGCGAGCGCAGGCGGAAGAAUAAGUCUGAUGUGAAAGCCCUCGGCUUAACCGAGGAACUGCAUCGGAAACUGUUUUUCUUGAGUGCAGAAGAGGAGAGUGGAACUCCAUGUGUAGCGGUGGAAUGCGUAGAUAUAUGGAAGAACACCAGUGGCGAAGGCGGCUCUCUGGUCUGCAACUGACGCUGAGGCUCGAAAGCAUGGGUAGCGAACAGGAUUAGAUACCCUGGUAGUCCAUGCCGUAAACGAUGAGUGCUAAGUGUUGGGAGGUUUCCGCCUCUCAGUGCUGCAGCUAACGCAUUAAGCACUCCGCCUGGGGAGUACGACCGCAAGGUUGAAACUCAAAGGAAUUGACGGGGGCCCGCACAAGG
rnacentral:rRNA from 1 species